GGUGUGAUGGCGUGGAUCGAUCAGAGCAAAGGGGGGAGAAGACAAACCCUAACUUCAUGAAAUUCUCAAGAAUUGAAAGAGAUUAGGAGCCCAAACUAAUGCAUGAACUCGAAACCUCAAUCAUCUAAGCUUGUACAACAAGCGGAACGUGUCAAGGAGAGGUCAAGCAUAGGAGGAUAACGGGUCAAGAUAAGGCAAGAUGACAAAUACACUUAUUGGAGUACUCGAGGUAAGUGAAUUUCGAUUCACUUUUUAGUAGGUUUAAUAGAUUUUAAUACUUAUGUUUACGAAACAUCAUGAAAGAACAUGUAAUAAUCAGAAGUACAAAGCCAAUAAUGCCUCAUUAUUGAAGAAGGUUGUAUUUAAGCCGAAAGUAAAUUGGUGGGUUUAAACGGGUCGAAUUUUAUGUGCAUAUGUUGCGUAAUGAAAUGAAAUUCGUUAUGGUUAAGACCUUGGGUAAGAAUUUUAGUCAUUAUGUAAGGGGAACAUUUCCCGGACCAUUAGGUACAAGUUUUAUAUGAUUCGGUUGUCGGUCAAUGAAUGAACGGAUUGUUUCGUUUUAGUGUAGGAAAUUUUAUAAGUAUAUGUGUAUAGGAAUCCAAAGGCCACGUGGGUUGAAUCGUAGAUUGUCUAUACUAUGUAAAGUAUUGAAUGUGACAUUCCGGCAUAAACCUACAUGUAAAAGAAGCUUGUGUAUAUAUUCGUGAUUAAUUGAUUGUGCGAAGGAAGGAACAUUGGCAUGAAUGAAGGUACGCACAUAUAUAUAUAAGUAUAUAUAUAUAUAUGUAUGUAUGUAUGUAUGAUAAUAAGUACGUAGGUGUGAAUGUAUGUGUGAAUGAAUGUUCAAUGCUUAAGACAUAUGCAUGAACGUAUCAAAGGGUUCGAGUAUUUAUGGAUACUAAUGAUGUGCGUUGAGUUGGAAUGUAAUGUAGGUAUGGGGUCGUUGGCUUCAUGAAGAAAUGGAGCUGGAUUUGGAUAAGAGUAUUUAAGAAAGCGCUUGGACAAUUCCACGACUACUUUAUAGAAUGCUCUACGAAAUUUUAUUAUAUAGUUUAAUGUUGAAUGGUAUGUUGAUAACUAAUGGUUUGGUUGUACGUGGUGUCCACAGGUAUCGCUUGGGUUUUCUCUACUUUUAUUGAAGUGAAGCGGACUUAGUUCGAGUUGAGAGCAAGGAUUGUACGGGGUAGAAUGGUCACAUAGUGUAACUCAUAUAGGUUUUGAAGUAUUAAUGUUAUAAAACGUUAUAAAUCCGUUUUAAUGAAUAUAUGGCAUUUCGCAUUUGAACUUUCAUGUGUUUGAUAUGUCUAUUAAAGAACGAAAUUUUUGGGCUCUUGUUUUCCGCUGCGUCGUAUUUUAAGUUAUUACGCGUUAGUCUUACAGGGAAUUGUUCUUAUUACGAACGGGUCAUGCCCGAAUUUUGUUAAAUAAUAGUAUGAUAAUAUUACAUUUUGGAAUGUGUAAUUUGGGCGUAACAAGUUGGUAUCAGAGCCCUGGUUUGAGAGAAUUAAGUACGAGAGUAUAAGUACUUGAACUCAAACCUGUGUGCUCUUGUGAUAAGGAACCCGUACAAUCCAUGACUCGAUCAAGAUCUAAAGGUAGAAAUGGAACGAAAAUGUGUAAGUAUGUAUUAGAUUAUGUAUUUGAAAGAAACUAAUAGUGUGUUAUGUGCAAGGUAAGCUUAAGAUCUUGAAGAGGAUGAUCCGUGAAUACAGAAUGGGAUGAACGCUAAGGCGGGCAAAGGUGCAAAUAGGCAAAUUAACCCCAGGAACGUGUCAAGGAGAGGUCAAGCAUAGGAGGAUAACGGGUCAAGAUAAGGCAAGAUGACAAAUACACUUAUUGGAGUACUCGAGGUAAGUGAAUUUCGAUUCACUUCACUUUUUAGUAGGUUUAAUAGAUUUUAAUACUUAUGUUUACGAAACAUCAUGAAAGAACAUGUAAUAAUCAGAAGUACAAAGCCAAUAAUGCCUCAUUAUUGAAGAAGGUUGUAUUUAAGCCGAAAGUAAAUUGGUGGGUUUAAACGGGUCGAAUUUUAUGUGCAUAUGUUGCGUAAUGAAAUGAAAUUCGUUAUGGUUAAGACCUUGGGUAAGAAUUUUAGUCAUUAUGUAAGGGGAACAUUUCCCGGACCAUUAGGUACAAGUUUUAUAUGAUUCGGUUGUCGGUCAAUGAAUGAACGGAUUGUUUCGUUUUAGUGUAGGAAAUUUUAUAAGUAUAUGUGUAUAGGAAUCCAAAGGCCACGUGGGUUGAAUCGUAGAUUGUCUAUACUAUGUAAAGUAUUGAAUGUGACAUUCCGGCAUAAACCUACAUGUAAAAGAAGCUUGUGUAUAUAUUCGUGAUUAAUUGAUUGUGCGAAGGAAGGAACAUUGGCAUGAAUGAAGGUACGCACAUAUAUAUAUAAGUAUAUAUAUAUAUAUAUAUGUAUGUAUGUAUGUAUGAUAAUAAGUACGUAGGUGUGAAUGUAUGUGUGAAUGAAUGUUCAAUGCUUAAGACAUAUGCAUGAACGUAUCAAAGGGUUCGAGUAUUUAUGGAUACUAAUGAUGUGCGUUGAGUUGGAAUGUAAUGUAGGUAUGGGGUCGUUGGCUUCAUGAAGAAAUGGAGCUGGAUUUGGAUAAGAGUAUUUAAGAAAGCGCUUGGACAAUUCCACGACUACUUUAUAGAAUGCUCUACGAAAUUUUAUUAUAUAGUUUAAUGUUGAAUGGUAUGUUGAUAACUAAUGGUUUGGUUGUACGUGGUGUCCACAGGUAUCGCUUGGGUUUUCUCUACUUUUAUUGAAGUGAAGCGGACUUAGUUCGAGUUGAGAGCAAGGAUUGUACGGGGUAGAAUGGUCACAUAGUGUAACUCAUAUAGGUUUUGAAGUAUUAAUGUUAUAAAACGUUAUAAAUCCGUUUUAAUGAAUAUAUGGCAUUUCGCAUUUGAACUUUCAUGUGUUUGAUAUGUCUAUUAAAGAACGAAAUUUUUGG
rnacentral:lncRNA from 1 species